CCCUUAGAUGUCCUGGGCCGCACGCGCGCUACACUGACAUGUUCAACAAGCCUCCUAGUUCGACAGGAUUUGGGAAAUCUUUGAACGCAUGUCGUGAUAGGGAUAGAUCAUUGCAAUUAUUGAUCUUGAACGAGGAAUUCCUAGUAAACGCGAGUCAUCAGCUCGCAUUGAUUACGUCCCUGCCCUUUGUACACACCGCCCGUCGCACCUACCGAUUGAAUGUUUCGGUGAAGAUUCCGGAUAGGACUUUUUUGAUUUAUUUCAAUUUUGUCUUAAAAGCUAUCUAAGCCUCAACAUUUAGAGGAAGGUGAAGUCGUAACA
rnacentral:rRNA from 1 species